rnacentral:lncRNA from 1 species
CUCGGCGACCUUCAGAACCAAAUGCCCCCGGGAUUCUGGGAGCAUCUGAACGGCCAGCACAUUCAAGGCCACUGGACCGUGAGGCCGAUGCUCCAUGCCCUGUUCCUCUUUGGAGUCUCCGUGUCCAACACGCUAAGUCCAUGCACUCAGCACCUUCGUCACUGCCACACCCUGCUGGGUGCCCCGCCCCUCGGCAGGCCCUGGACAGAAGGGCACCGUGGAUGGAGCAUAGGCUCAGACCAUCGUCUUUGGAUCCCACCAUUUUCAAGCUGUGUGACCUUGGGCAAGUCACUUCACCUCUCUGGCCUCGCUUUUGUCAUUGCGGAGUGAAGACUGAAGGUGAUAACAUGCACGAGGCAUAAGGACACACGGUCACUUAACGGUGAGACCGAUAAUGACCUAGGAAGACUGGCUCUCGGCAGCUGGCCCCACCCUCGGUGAACACACCUCAAGUCUCAGGGUCUCCAUCCGGCCAAAGGGACGGACGCCUAAACCAAUGACCACAGCAGAAAGGGACAGGCCGGAAGACGGCGCCAAGGGACACUGGGGAGGGUGGCUUCCCCAGCAGUGGGGACGGCAGGUCAGAGCUCAGCACCGGGGAGUAGGGGAAAGAGGGUCCCCACUCUGCAGGGCCCCUGGCAGCAGAGGCCAUCAGUUAUCGAGGGGUCGCCCUGUGCCCAGCGUGUGCCAGGGCUUCGCAAAUUCCAACCCCACAAAACUCCUGCUGCCCGGGGUGGCCACGGGCCCCGUGUUUCGGGCCGAGAAAUGGAGGCCCAGGCAGGUGAGGAGCCCGGGCCUCACCACCAAGCCACUCUGCCUCCCCAGGAGGCUCUGAGGGCAUCUUUCCUGCCCAGGUACUGCCAGGUGAAGGGACCAGGAGGGGACACAUUUGGGAGGGCUAGGGACCACAGGAAAUGCUUAGCGCUCUUCUCCACGCUGCCAGCGUUAACUCGCCAGGACUCAGAACAAUCCAGCAAGGUCGCAUGUCCUUCGUCACUGCCUUCCCGAGAGGAAAUGGGGCACAGGGCACAGAGCUUGCCCAGAGCACAGGAAUGGCACACGGCAGAGCCAGGGUCCAGUGCUGGGUCCAUGUCCACGCCAUGCUGGAGUGUCCCCUGCCCAAUGCCAAAGGCCCAGGUGCCUGGCACCGGGGUCCACCCAGAGCCAACCAGGCUUGGUGAGCAGGAGAGGUCACCAGCCUGAAACAACUGAGAGGUCAUUAUGGAGACACCUGGGCAGGAGGAGGCCGUCCCUCCACACAGGGGCGUCAAGCAGUGGACCCUCUUCACAUCCCGCUGAUUGACAGCUAGGCCACGGGCUCAGUCCCCAAGGACCUCUGCUGUGUCAGCCCCAGCCAGAACCCAAGCCUCGGCCUCUGCAAGACCUUCUGGGCUAAUUAGGAGAGCGGGGACCUCCUGGGCCACCGGGCUCCUUCCCCACUUGCUCCACAGCCAAC